GGAGAGGUGCCGGAGUGGUCGAACGGGCCGGCUUGCUAAGCCGUUGUACUGGGUAACUGGUACCGAGGGUUCGAAUCCCUCCCUCUCCGCCA
rnacentral:tRNA from 1 species